ACGGGUGAGUAAUGCAUAGAAAUCUGCCCGGUAGUGGGGGAUAACCUGGGGAAACCCAGGCUAAUACCGCAUACGUCCUACGGGAGAAAGCAGGGGCUCUUCGGACCUUGCGCUAUCGGAUGAGUCUAUGUCGGAUUAGCUUGUUGGUGAGGUAAUGGCUCACCAAGGCGACGAUCCGUAGCUGGUCUGAGAGGAUGAUCAGCCACAUCGGGACUGAGACACGGCCCGAACUCCUACGGGAGGCAGCAGUGGGGAAUAUUGGACAAUGGGCGAAAGCCUGAUCCAGCCAUGCCGCGUGUGUGAAGAAGGCCUUCGGGUUGUAAAGCACUUUCAGUGGGGAAGAAAGCCUAGGGGCUAAUACCCUCGAGGAAGGACAUCACCCACAGAAGAAGCACCGGCUAACUCCGUGCCAGCAGCCGCGGUAAUACGGAGGGUGCGAGCGUUAAUCGGAAUUACUGGGCGUAAAGCGCGCGUAGGCGGUCUGAUAAGCCGGUUGUGAAAGCCCCGGGCUCAACCUGGGAACGGCAUCCGGAACUGUCAGGCUAGAGUGCAGGAGAGGAAGGUAGAAUUCCCGGUGUAGCGGUGAAAUGCGUAGAGAUCGGGAGGAAUACCAGUGGCGAAGGCGGCCUUCUGGACUGACACUGACGCUGAGGUGCGAAAGCGUGGGUAGCAAACAGGAUUAGAUACCCUGGUAGUCCACGCCGUAAACGAUGUCGACUAGCCGUUGGGCUCCUUGAGAGCUUUGUGGCGCAGUUAACGCGAUAAGUCGACCGCCUGGGGAGUACGGCCGCAAGGUUAAAACUCAAAUGAAUUGACGGGGGCCCGCACAAGCGGUGGAGCAUGUGGUUUAAUUCGAUGCAACGCGAAGAACCUUACCUACCCUUGACAUCGUGCGAACUUUCCAGAGAUGGAUUGGUGCCUUCGGGAACGCACAGACAGGUGCUGCAUGGCUGUCGUCAGCUCGUGUUGUGAAAUGUUGGGUUAAGUCCCGUAACGAGCGCAACCCUUGUCCUUAUUUGCCAGCGCGUAAUGGCGGGAACUCUAAGGAGACUGCCGGUGACAAACCGGAGGAAGGUGGGGACGACGUCAAGUCAUCAUGGCCCUUACGGGUAGGGCUACACACGUGCUACAAUGGCCGGUACAAAGGGUUGCGAAGCCGCGAGGUGGAGCUAAUCCCGAAAAGCUGGUCUCAGUCCGGAUCGGAGUCUGCAACUCGA
rnacentral:rRNA from 1 species